AUUGAACGCUGGCGGCAUGCCUUACACCGUAUGCAAGUCGAACGGCAGCGCGGUCGGGGUAACCUGACUGGCGGCGAGUGGCGAACGGGUGAGUAAUAUAUCGGAACGUGCCCAAGAGUGGCGCGGGAUAACUAGUCGAAAGAUUAGCUAAUACCGCAUACGAUCUAAGGAUGAAAGUGGGGGACUCGCAAGGGCCUCAUGCUCCUGGAGCGGCCUAGGAUAACUGAUUAGCUAGUUGGUGGGGUAAAGGCCUACCAAGGCGAUGAUCAGUAGCUGGUCUGAGAGGACGACCAGCCACACUGGAACUGAUCCGACACGGUCCAGACUCCUACGGGAGGCAGCAGUGGGGAAUUUUGGACAAUGGGGGCAACCCUGAUCCAGCAAUGCCGCGUGAGUGAAGAAGAACGCCUUCGGGUUGUAAAGCUCUUUUGUUGGGGAAGAAACGGUGGGGGCUAAUACUCUCUACUAAUGACGGUACCCAAAGAAUAAGCACCGGCCGAUAACUACGUGCCAGCAGCCGCGGUAAUACGUAGGGUGCAAGCGUUAAUCGGAAUUACUGGGCGUAAAGCGUGCGCAGGCGGUUUUGUAAGAAGUCUGUCGUGAAAUCCCCGGGCUCAACCUGGGAAUGGCGAUGGUGACUGCAAGGCUAGAGUUUGGCAGAGGGGGGUAGAAUUCCACGUGUAGCUCGAGUGAAAUGCGUAGAUAUGUGGAGGAACACCGAUGGCGAAGGCAGCCCCCUGGGUCAAAACUGACGCUCAUGCACGAAAGCGUGGGGAGCAUCGAACAGGAUUAGAUACCCUGGUAGUCCACGCCCUAAACGAUGUCAACUAGUUGUUGGGGAUUCAUUUCCUUAGUAACGUAGCUAACGCGUGAAUCAGUUGACCGCCUGGGGAGUACGGUCGCAAGAUUAAAACUCAAAGGAAUUGACGGGGACCCGCACAAGCGGUGGAUGAUGUGGAUUAAUUCGUGCAUGCAACGCGAAAAACCUUACCUACCCUUGACAUGGUCGGAAUCCUGCUGAGAGGCGGGAGUGCUCGAAAGAGAACCGGCGCACAGGUGCUCGUGCAUGGCUGUCGUCAGCUCGUGUCGUGAGAUGUUGGGUUAAGUCCCGCAACGAGCGCAACCCUUGUCCUUAGUUGCUACGCAAGAGCACUCUUCUAAGGAGACUGCCGGUGACAAACCGGAGGAAGGUGGGGAUGACGUCAAGUCCUCAUGGCCCUUAUGGGUAGGGCUUCACACGUCAUACAAUUGGGGUCGGAACAGAGGGUUGCCAACCCGCGAGGGGGAGCUAAUCCCAGAAAACCGAUCGUAGUCCGGAUUGCACUCUGCAACUCGAGUGCAUGUCGAGGCUGGAAUCGCUAGUAAUCGCGGAUCAGCAUGCCGCGGUGAAUACGUUCCCGGGUCUUGUACACACCGCCCGUCACACCAUGGGAGUGGAGUGUUUUACCAGAAGUGGCUAGUCUAACCGCAAGGAGGACGGUCACCACGGUAGGAUUCAUGACUGGGGUG
rnacentral:rRNA from 1 species